rnacentral:rRNA from 1 species
UACGGAGGGUGCAAGCGUUGCUCGGAAUUAUUGGGCGUAAAGGGUAGGUAGGUGGUCUUAUUUGUCUGGGGUGAAAGCCUUGAGCUUAACUCAAGAAGUGCCCCAGAAACGGUGAGACUAGAGUCCUGGAGAGGGUCGUGGAAUUCCCGGUGUAGCGGUGAAAUGCGUAGAGAUCGGGAGGAACACCAGAGGCGAAGGCGAGUCUCUGGACAUUUCCUGACGCUGAGGCACGAAAGCCAGGGGAGCAAACGGG